UCCGCCUGCCGCCUCCCAUUGGUCCUCCUUUCCUCCCUCUUCCCUUUUUAACCUAAAGGGGAAAACAACACAAAUAGAAAAACAACACAAAAAAAAGUAACCAUUAUAUCUGAAAGACGUAAGAGAUGUACAAAUGAAAUAAAAGGACAGCUGAACAAUAUGUUAAAAGGGUUAUCUGGGUUAUCAGGGAGACACACCCCCUGAGGUCAGGGAGACACACCCCCUGAGGUCAGGGAGACACACCCCCUGAGGUCAGGGAGACACACCCCCUGAGGUCAGGGAGCCACGCCCCCUGAGGUCAGGGAGAUACUCCCCCUUAGGUCAGGGAGCCACGCCCCCUGAGGUCAGUGACCGUCUGCAAUGUCCACCGUAUCUGUUAGAGCCAGAGAGAGAGAGAGAGAGAGAGAGAGAGAGAGACAGAGACAGAGACAGAGAGAGAGAGAGAGAGAGAGAGAGAGACAGAGACAGAGACAGAGAGAGAGACAUUAAAAACAGACCCACUCAGCGUCGUGAGCCACUACUCACCGCAGCCCUACCAGAGGGCCGAUGGCAGCGCGUUGCA
ensembl:lncRNA